rnacentral:rRNA from 1 species
CCUACGGGUGGCAGCAGUGGGGAAUAUUGCACAAUGGGGGAAACCCUGAUGCAGCGACGCCGCGUGAGUGAAGAAGUAAUUCGUUAUGUUAAGCUCUAUCAGCAGGGAAUAAAAUGACGGUACCUGAGUAAGCAGGCCCGGUUAAAUACGGGCACGCAGCCGUGGUAAUACGUAGGGGGCAAGGGUUAUCCGGAUUUAGUGGGUGUAAAGGGAGCGUAGGGGGCAGUGCAAGUGUGGAGUGAAACGCGGGGGCUCAACCCCCGGACUGCUGUGGAAGCUGGACGGCUGGAGUGCAGGAGAGGUAGGUGGAAUUCGUGGUGUAGCGGUGAAAUGCGUAGAUAUCAGGAGGAACACCGGUGGCGAAGGCGGCUUACAGGACUCUAACUGACGUUGAGGCUCGAAAGCGUGGGGAGCGAACAGGAUUAGAUACCCCUGUAGUC